rnacentral:lncRNA from 12 species
GCGGCAACACCAGGCAUGGCCUGGGGGAACACCUGGGGCAGGAGGGGCAGCCGGGCUGGGUGGGGAUGGAGGGGAGCUGGGUGCUGGAUGGGGAUGGAGGGAGCUGGGUGGGGAUGGAGGGAGCUGGGUGGGGAUGUAAGGGAGCUGGGUGGGGAUGGAGGGGAGCUGGGUGGGGAUGGAGGGGAGCUGGGUGGGGAUGGGGGGGGGGGGGGGGGGGGGGGGGGGGGGGGGGGGGGGGGGGGGGGGGGGGGGGGGGGGGGGGGGGGGGGGGGGGGGGGGGGGGGGGGGGGGGGGGGGGGGGGGGGGGGGGGGGGGGGGGGGGGGGGGGGGGGGGGGGGGGGGGGGGGGGGGGGGGGGGGGGGGGGGGGGGGGGGGGGGGGGGGCUGGGUGCGGAUCGCGGGGCGCUGGGUGGGAAUGGCGGGGUGCGGGGUACUGGGUGGGGAUCGCUGGGUGCAGAUGGAGGGGAGCUGGGUCGGGAUGGAGGGGAGCCGGGUGCGGAUCCUGGGGCGAUGGAUGGGGAUCGCGGGGCGCUGGGUUCUAGGUGGUGUUGGCGGGGUUCCGGGUGCGGAUCAUAGGGUGCGGAUCACGGGGCUCCGGGUGGGGAUAGCGGGGUGCUGGGUGGAUAUAGCGGGGUUCUAGGUGGGGAUAGCGGGGGUCCGGGUGCGGAUUGCUAGGUGGGGAUAGCGGGGUGCUGGGUGGGGAUAGCGGGGUGCUGGGUGCGGAUAGCGGCGCUCCGGGCGCCGCCGUGCCCAGCUCCCCGGCCCCGCCCCGGCGCGGGCGGAGCUUGCGGGGCUGCGGGACGAGAUGCGCCUCGCUCCCCUUUUUUAAUUUAGCAGGAACAUCUGUUGGCUGUCCGCCGCCCUCUGGAGGCUGGGUGUCCUCGCAGCCCACGGGGGGGGGGGGGGGGGGGGGGGGGGGGGGGGGGGGGGGGGGGGGGGGGGGGGGGGGGGGGGGGGGGGGGGGGGGGGGGGGGGGGGGGGGGGGGGGGGGGGGGGGGGGGGGGGGGGGGGGGGGGGGGGGGGGGGGGGGGGGGGGGGGGGGGGGGGGGGGGGGGGGGGGGGUCGUCGCAGCCCACCGGGGAGGGGAAGGAGGAGAUGCGGGCGGGCAGGGCGAGCCCGGCGCCGUUCCCGUCCCGUGCGGUGUGAGCGCCCCAAGCGCGGUCAUCUCCCGGACCGCCGGGGCUCUGCUGCCGGACGGGCUUGACGGAAACUUGGGAGCUGUUUUCCCUUUGGGUCGCUGAGGAUGAAAGAUACAGGUGGGUUUUUCCUCCAGCGUUCUGCGGCACCCUCCCCUCCCAAAGAUGUGUAAAAAAGUUUGUGGAAGAAGAAUCCUAAGCGGAGGUUGGCUGGAGAGGCUUUUGCUUGGUGCAGUGUUUAGAAGCCCGGGCGCUCAGGAGGUGCUUUCAGUCCCGCUGCCGCCGCCGUCCCGACUCGGGCUCUGAGGUGCUGCUGAUGGCUUCAACCCAGCUCAGGAAUGGUCUGUCUCGACUACUCUUAGCAUAGACAUUUCUGUGCAUAAACUUCCUCUUUGCACGUAAGACGGGUUGCCUUAACUUUAAAUAUACUAAAUGAAAGUAGCUGGGUUG